rnacentral:rRNA from 1 species
AUUGAACGCUGGCGGCAUGCCUUACACAUGCAAGUCGAACGGUAACAGGUCUUCGGAUGCUGACGAGUGGCGAACGGGUGAGUAAUACAUCGGAACGUGCCCGAUCGUGGGGGGUAACGAGGCGAAAGCUUUGCUAAUACCGCAUACGAUCUACGGAUGAAAGCGGGGGAUCUUCGGACCUCGCGCGGACGGAGCGGCCGAUGGCAGAUUAGGUAGUUGGUGGGAUAAAAGCUUACCAAGCCGACGAUCUGUAGCUGGUCUGAGAGGAUGAUCAGCCACACUGGGACUGAGACACGGCCCAGACUCCUACGGGAGGCAGCAGUGGGGAAUUUUGGACAAUGGGCGAAAGCCUGAUCCAGCCAUGCCGCGUGCAGGAUGAAGGCCUUCGGGUUGUAAACUGCUUUUGUACGGAACGAAAAGCCUCUUUCUAAUAAAGAGGGGUCAUGACGGUACCGUAAGAAUAAGCACCGGCUAACUACGUG